rnacentral:rRNA from 1 species
AAGGAUCAUUAAAGAAUGCUCGAGGAUGUUGCUGGCCUAUCGUGGGCAUGUGCACUCCUUGAAAACCCCUUUGACCACCUUCUCACUUUGUGCAUAACUUGUAGGCCCUUGGGGGGAUGCAAUUGACGUUGUUUUCCUUAUCUUCGGGCUUAUGUCUACUUUAUCCCUUGAUAAACUCCUUUUGGAAUGCUUUGUACAAUUAUUUAAAUUGAUAAUAAACACAACUUUCAACAAUGGAUCUCUUGGCUCUCGCAUCGAUGAAGAACGCAGCGAAAUGCGAUACGUAAUGUGAAUUGCAGAAUUCCGUGAAUCAUCGAAUCUUUGAACGCACCUUGCGCCUCUUGGUAUUCCGAGGGGCAUGCCUGUUUGAGUGUCUUUUGAAUUUCUCAAAAACUUGACCUUGGGGAGCUUUCGCAAGGAGUUUCAAGUUUGGAAUUUGGAGGGUUUGCCGAUCUUUGUGAAAAGGAGUUGGCUCCUCUGAAAAGCAUUAGCGAACAAGGAGAAAUCUGAAUCUUCUUAGGUUGGCUGGCAUUGAUAGUCUGUCUAUGCCCGUAAAGACCCUUGAAAGGGAUGGUCUCUAUUUUUGUUUGCUCAUAAAAAGGUCUCUUAAGUGGGACGAUUUUUUUUCUUGACAAAUUACCUCAAAUCAGG